GAUGAACGCUGGCGGCGUGCCUAAUACAUGCAAGUCGAGCGAACAGACGAGGAGCUUGCUCCUUUGACGUUAGCGGCGGACGGGUGAGUAACACGUGGGUAACCUACCUAUAAGACUGGGAUAACUUCGGGAAACCGGAGCUACUACCGGAUAAUAUUUCGAACCGCAUGGUUCGAUAGUGAAAGAUGGCUUUGCUAUCACUUAUAGAUGGACCUGCGCCGUAUUAGCUAGUUGGUAAGGUAACGGCUUACCAAGGCAACGAUACGUAGCCGACCUGAGAGGGUGAUCGGCCACACUGGAACUGAGACACGGUCCAGACUCCUACGGGAGGCAGCAGUAGGGAAUCUUCCGCAAUGGGCGAAAGCCUGACGGAGCAACGCCGCGUGAGUGAUGAAGGUCUUCGGAUCGUAAAACUCUGUUAUUAGGGAAGAACAAAAGUGUAAGUAACUGUGCACGUCUUGACGGUACCUAAUCAGAAAGCAACGGCUAACUACGUG
rnacentral:rRNA from 1 species